CCACCACCUACUCCCUCUCCCUUUUGGAAAGCCACUUUUCACCUUGAUGACUAGAAACUCAAUAAUAAAUUUUGCAGAAAUUGUAUAACCAAAACCGCAUUCUAAUUUAGUGCCAUUUUUCCUCUUAAGGUUGUUAUUGUUGUUUUCUCUAAAGGACAAUUAUCUGUGUGCCCAGGAGCUGGAGCAGAAGCUACCUUUCCUGCGUAUCCAACAGGAGACCUGUGUGGAGCAUAAAAUGGAGACAGAUGCAUGUGGCUGAGACACAGCAGACAGCGAACCUUUGCAGGGGAUGGCAGUGAGGAUCCAGGAGAAGGGAAGGACCAUCCAGGAGGGGAGAGAGGCCUUGAGAGAACUACACUUGGUGCCAGACAUAGUCUCACUCUGACACCUAGGCUGGAGUGCAAACACAGCUCGCCGCAGCCUUGAACUCCUGGGCUCAAGUGAUGCUCUCACCUUAGCCUCCUGAGCAGCUGGGACUAUAAGGUACCUGUCACCAUGUCUGGCUAGAUUUAAAAAACAUUUUGUAGAGACAGGGUUUCGCCAUGUUGCCCAGGCUGAUCUUGAGUUCCUGGGCUCAAGCAGUCCUCCGGCCUCAGCUUCCCAAGGUACUUUCCUAUCUUUUUUCUAUGUUUUUUGUUCUCGCAUAAUUCAGAUGAUAGAUGUAAAAGUUUAUAUUAUAAAAAAAUUGUUUAUCCUGUUUAACAUGUCACAACCAUUAAUAAUUUCCUCAUAUUAUUUAAAUCUGUUAAAAUAUUUAAUGGUAGCAUGUUUUAUCAUAUAACUCAACUGUUUUUAAUAUGAUGGACAUAAAUGGAUGGACACUGGGUGACUUUUCUGAAUGAACACAGGACUUCCUACACAGGACUGGCAUUUAGGGCUGACAGCAUAGAUGGACACAUUGGUGGGAGAGCAUCCUAGAAGCAGAAGACUGGCCGUCUAUGGUAGAUAAUAAAAGUUGUUCAUUAUUCUUCCCCAACAUUAAAAAAAGGUCAGCUGAGAGAUUGUAUACAUCUUUUACCUUCUACCCUUCCCAAAAGGAGUCAAUGAUUAGCAUAGGCUGAAUACAUUAUAAGCCGGUUAACAAGUAAACUGCACAAUAAAGGCUAAAGAUCACAGAAACCUUGUGGGCGGAGGGAAGCUUUGCACUGCCCACUGCUGGAAGGACUGGUGAACAUGUAGCAUGACCUGAAGAUGCCCAGAGUGGUGGUGGCCUGUGACAGUAGUCAACAGGUUUACAAAUCUUAAUAUAAAGUGUCUUAAUAUAGAGAUGGCCGUGUAUAUGCUGAAGAAUUGACCAGGAUGUGGGGAAUCUUUUCGGAAGACAAUUAGGCAACAGGCUACCAAAGCCUUUUAAAAGGCCAUAUGCUUUGACACAGCGAUUGGACUUGUGAGAAUUCAUUCUAUGAAAAAUAAAUCCAAAUGUUAACUACAGUAAAAUUACUGCAAUGGUAAGAAAUAAGGAACAACAAUGUACAUCAACAUUAGACUGGUUAAAUAAAUUAUGUCAUGUCCAAACAGCAAACACAAUAUAUCCAUUAAAAUGUUUUAUAUGUAAAUGAUGUUUACAGUAUAUCAUGGAAAAAUAAAGAAGUUUUUGGAAUUCUGUAUUCAAAACAAACUAAGAAAUGUAUACUCAUUUGUUGCAUAAGGAUGGGGAUUUGUUCUAAGAAAUGCAUUACAAGUGAUUUCAUCACUGGGUGAUCAUAGAGUCUAUGUAUGCAAACCUGGAUGGUAUAGCUACAUGGUAUAGCCUAUUGUUCCUAGGCUACAAACCUGUACAGCCCGUUACUGUACUGAACACUGUAGGCAAUUCUAACACAACGGUUAUGUAUUUGUGUAUCUAAACAUAACGUAGGUACAACAUAUGUUACUUGGGUGAUGGAUACACUAAAAGCUCUGACUUCACCACUAUGCAACCUAUAGAUGUAACAAAAUUGUACUUGUACCCCAUAAAUUUAUACAAAAUUUCUUUAAAAGAUAAAAAAAAUGGUACACCUGUAUAAGGCACUUAAUGUGACUGCAGUUUGCAGGACUGGAAGUUGCUCUGGGUGAGUCAGUGGUGAGUGAAAGUAAAGGCCUAGGACGUUACUGUACAGUACUGUAGACUUUAUGAACACCCUACACUUAGGCUAAAUUUAUUUUAAAAACAAACCGUGCUACAAUAUUACAACAGUUACAACAUCACUAAGUGAUAGGAAUUUUUAAGCUCCAUUACAAUCUUACAGGACCACCACCGUGUAUGUCAUCCACUGCUAACUGAAACCCUGCUAUAUGUCCCAAAGUGUUGGUAACGGUUAUCUCAAUUUGACUUAUGUCUCUUUUCUGAUUUUCACUCAAAAGAGUCAUGUAUAUCUUAUGUAAUUUUUUAAAAAUUUUAUUUAUUUAUUUUUUUGAGAUGGAGUCUCGCUCUGUUGCUCAGGCUGGAGUGCAAUGGCACAAUCUUGGCUCACUGCAACCUCCACCUCCUGGACUCAAGCGGUUCUCCUGCUUCGGCCUCCUGAGCAGCUGGGAUUACAGGCACGUGCCACCGUGCCCAGCUAAUUUUUGUAUUUUUAGUAGAGACGAGGUUUCACCACGUUGCCCAGGCUGGUCUUGAACUCCUGACCUCAGGUGAUCCACCCGCCUUGGCCUCCCAAAGUGCUGGGAUUACAGGUAUGAGUCACUGCACAAGGCUGAUUUUUUUUUUUUUUUUUUUUUUUUGAGACAGAGUCUCACUCUAUCAUCCAGGCUGGAGUGCAGUGGUGUGAUCUUGGCUCACUGCAACCUCUGCCUCCCAGGCUCAAGCGAUUCUUAUGCCUCAGCCUCCCAAGUAGCUAGAAUUACAGGCGUGCACCACCAUACCCAGCUAAUUUUUUGUAUUUUUAGUAGAGAGGGGGUUUCACCAUAUUGGACAGGCUGGUCUCAAACUCUUGACCUCAAGUGAUCCGCCCACCUCAGCCUCUGAAAGUGCUAGGAUUACAGGUGUGAGUCACCAAGCCUGGCUGUAAUUUUUUAGGCCAGGUGCAAAAUAUAACAAUAUGCUUAUCUCUCUAUUAAAUCGGAAAGGGUUUUGUUGUUUAACAUAUAGUGAAAAUUUGAAAUAGGCACCCUCAAAUCCCAUCCUACCAUUUAAUCCAGUAGUUUCACCUGAGAUUACAGCCAGAAGAAAUAAUUUUAAAUAUGAAAAAACACACUAAGUAGAUGGCCAUUGCAAUGUUAUUUGUAAUAAUAUAGGAAAUACAGUAGAAUAUAAUUUGGGGAUCUAAAUAUAUUGGAAUUGUUUCAAAAAGAUUUUUUCAGUAAACAUCUAUUUUGGUAUAGAAUAACUGGCUAGAAUGCAAAGUAUGUAAUGAUGAAAAUAAUGGGUCACCUAGGCAUCCCAACUCAUGGAAUCCCAAAAGGGUGGUAAUCAAUCAUAAGGAACACAUUCAAAAGGACUGUUAGAGGUUAUUCUAAUGUUGUGAAAAUCUCAUCAAUUUCAUGGGACAAAAGUUAUUUACUAGCAAAAAGGGGAUAUUCCAGAUAUUAAAAAAUGAAGAACAAGCAUAAAAGAUGAAUAAAAUGACACAGCUGUUUUUCCAAAAAAGCUGGUAUACCAUUUACUAUUUCAGUAUCUGCAGAUGCUGACAACAAACUCUGGUAUGUUACUUACAUUCCUUGAUGUAGGCCCACACAGAUUUCAAAUACAUAAAAUUUGUAUAUAUCUGCCACUGCAUGAUGCUUUUAGACCAUUUUUAAGGAAAUAAGUGCUAUUUCUACUGAAAGAAUGAAUGAGAAAAACAUACAGUCACCUAAAAACUCUUUUGAAGUUAGGCAGAAUUAAAUGAGAAUUGAGGUAAGUGUUACGUAAGAAUUAAACGAGGCAGUAUGCUGCAAUCACAUAGGUCAAAAAAAAAAACCUACCUAUGAGAACAAAAGAGGUAGAAAAAAACAACAAAAACGUUAGUAGUCCAUUCAUUCAUUCGUCAACACAUAUAAAUUGAACACCUGUUACAUACCAGGCACUGUGUUCAGCACAGAGAGAUAUAAUUGCCAUCCUGGGGCUUACAUUCUAGCGGAGGGGACAAACACAACAUUCAAGUCAGCAUGUCACUGGGGCUGACUCCUCUCUCCCUGCUUUUUUCCCUUUUUUCUUCUGUUUACUAUCAACUAUGCUCAUGAAUGUUCGCUUUAAUAAUAUUCAUUUUAAAUGACUGAACUUUUCUCAGAUUUUAAAAGAAAUCAACUAUGCAAACUGAUCAUUAUUUGUCAGGCUCAUUUCCAAUUCUAACAUUCAGAAAUACAAGAUAGAGAGCACUCUAUAAAUUGACCAAGUGCCAGAAAAGUUUCCUAGAGAAGAUCAAGACAAUCUUUCUGUCAUUUGUACAAUGCAGCUGUCAUACCUUUUCAAUUACCAUGUGGAUCCCAGUCUUUCCAACACUGAAUCUGUAUGUUUAGAGAAUAAACCAGAAUAAAAACACUGACAACACAGAGGUGUGAAUAGUAAUUAUAAUUAACCCUUUCUAAAAGAAAAGGUAUAUGUAAUAGUACAUAAUAGAGUAACAAUUGUAACUCAAGUCUUUUUUUUUCCUUUUUACUCAAAGCAUAAACCAGACACAAUACGUUAUACCAGAUUAACAUGCAACUUAAAAAGAGGUUAAUGUACAUACUAAGCAUGGAAAUUCACCAGUAAAAUCUCAUUUGUCAUUUUACCCCCACUACCUUGACAUUAUUCUUCCAUUUCAUAAUCAACAAGGUUCUACUUCUGGUCACCUGAUAAAUGCCUUGCAUUCCUGGAGCUUGACAUUUCAGUCAAUUAUGGACACAAGAACAAUGUUACAAGCAUAAAGAAAAAAUGCAUCUACGAAACAGCUGACUGCACUGCUUUCAAUGGAAAGGUCCCCACUCCAACCUGCCCACUCCCUCCCUUUUCUCAGCACAAACAUAAAUAUCCCCCAGUCAUUCAUGAAGCUGUGUUGUCAAAAAGGUCCUGAAGCAUUAUUUCCCUAAACACCUAACACAUCAGCACUGACCAAAUAAAAACCACCCAAGCACUCUAAAAUUCUCACUUUUUCAAACAUUCCUUGUGUGUAAAAUUUUCUAAGCAUACAGAGAAACACAAGUUCACAAAAUGAUAAAAAGAUAAGACAAAAUUUCUGCCUCUUCUUGAAUGCAAAUCUUGAGUCAAAACCUUUUAUUGUUUUGGAAAUUCAAAUACAAGAAACCUAAGGUUUUCUUAUUUGCUUGUCAAUAUGCAUAGAGCCCAAUUGGCAGGGAUGGAGAGGGGACGGGGGAAGGUGUUAUACAAACAGACUAGGUGGAACCCAUUUUUACCUAGGCUUCUCUAGGACAAUAUGAUAAACAAGAAAGAUUAGUAUCUACUAGAAGAAUUUGUCAUAUUUAAAAUCAAUAUGAUUAGUAAAAUGUAUUUUAAGUACAAAUUAAAAUGAUUAGUAUACAUUUCUCUCAUCUCUAGCAAACAAGAGAGCCCUCAUUAGACAUAGCUGCCUCCUCAAUGCUGUAUCUUGGACAUUAGCCUAAAAAAAUAUCUUUAAAAGUGCUUUGCAGGUAUCACCUCAUCUCAUGGAACCAUAGAGGGAUCUAAGAAAAGGCUACUCCAAUCUAAAGGACUAUUUUCAAGCAAAAAUAGAGGAAUUCUGUGUAUCAUCAAUGAAAGAAGUUUAGGGGAAGGGUAUAGUACAUAUUACAAUAAUUUAAAAUCAUACGCACAUUUCACUUUCCAUGCACGAUGAUUUUAACAUGAAACAAUGUAACUAUACAUCACUGAAAAUACAAUCAAGCUUUGCCCCAGAACUUACAGCCACUCUCUAUAGUCAGUUAAGAAAAACCCUGGAAGAAUAUAUGAUAAAUGUAUUCAGAUUCUAUUAGUUUUAUUUGUAAGCAGAUUCUAAACAAAGAGGAUGAAUUUGGGCACAUAUACACAUGCACAAAUGAAAUGGUUCAACAUCUAAAUGAUAUGACACAAAAUUACCACUAUGAGAAUCAAGAGGCUACUCUUAUGCAAGCAACAAACUUUUACUUAUGAUUUCAAACAUACAGUUUAAUUUUCUGUUAAAACUGUUUUAAAAAACAGUACUAGGGUUCAGUUUUCUAGUCUCGGCAUGAACUAAUGCCAGGGACCUAUUUGAAUUAGGAAAGAGACAAAAUGGUGUGAUUCGUGCUUCAUUACAUCAUGGUUUGUUGAGGGUUAGGUGAAUAUCUUCCAUUUCAAGACUUUUUAUUUAGGCCAGGCGCGGUGGCUCACACCUGUAAUCCCACCACUUUAGGAGGUUGAGGCGGGCAGAUUACGAGGUCAGGAGAUUGAGACCAUCCUGGCUAACACGGUGAAACCCCAUCUCUACUAAAAAUACAAAACAUUAGCCGGGCGUAGUGGCAGGCGCCUGCAGUCCCAGCUACUUGUGAGGCUGAGGCAGGACAACCGGCGUGAACCCAGGAGGCAGAGGUUGCAGUGAGCCGAGAUCGCGCCACUGCACUCCAGCCUGGACGACAAAGUGAGACUCUGUCUAAAAAAAAAAAAAAAAAAAAAAAAAAGACUUUGUAUUCAAAUAAAGCACAAAUUGUGACAGAAAUCCUCUAGGCUGUGUCAUCAGUUAAGACAAGCCAUACGAUACCAUAGAAAAUACAUAUAAUUUAUUAGAUGGGCUUAAAAUCAACACAAAUCCAUUUUUAGGCACUUCUUGAGUACAG
rnacentral:lncRNA from 10 species